CCUACGGGGGGCUGCAGUGGGGAAUAUUGGACAAUGGGGGGAACCCUGAUCCAGCCAUGCCGCGUGUGUGAAGAAGGCCCUCGGGUUGUAAAGCACUUUCAGUGAGGAAGAACGCCUGGUGGUUAAUACCCAUCAGGAAAGACAUCACUCACAGAAGAAGCACCGGCUAACUCCGUGCCAGCAGCCGCGGUAAUACGGAGGGUGCGAGCGUUAAUCGGAAUUACUGGGCGUAAAGCGCGCGUAGGUGGCUUGAUAAGCCGGUUGUGAAAGCCCCGGGCUCAACCUGGGAACGGCAUCCGGAACUGUCAAGCUAGAGUGCAGGAGAGGAGGGUAGAAUUCCCGGUGUAGCGGUGAAAUGCGUAGAGAUCGGGAGGAAUACCAGUGGCGAAGGCGGCCUUCUGGACUGACACUGACGCUGAGGUGCGAAAGCGUGGGUAGCAAACAGGAUUAGAUACCCUUGUAGUC
rnacentral:rRNA from 1 species